CUAGGUCUUGGUUCAGGCUUUACUGGAGCCUGGCACUUAUCCGAUCGGUGGCCUCCGCCCAUGGCUUGUUAGGUGGCUGGUUCGGGUCAUUCCCAAUGUCCCCACUGCAGCCCCGUUCCAGCCAUUCCAUGUGCCAGCUUUUAACUCUGCUCUGGCCACCAUGUUCCCUUCCUGUCUCCAUUGUUCAGACACUACAAAAGUGCCCAGAGUUCGUUGUUGCCCAGCAAGACUCAGACCAGGGGGCGGCAGGUCCCUCUCUUGCAGGUUCUCUACAGCUGUUUCCAACCAUCUGUGCUGUCCCGGGGCCUGCCGUAAGCAACCCAGGAGCACUUUCCCCUGUGGGCCCAUGGGGCAGAGUCUGCAGCCGGAGCCGUCUGGGGAGAGGAGCGGUGGAAGGAAGCCGUUCAAGAUAGCAGAGGAGGGCUCUGAGCUGGAAAGGGGCCUCCAUGCUAUCGUGGGCAGUUUCUACAGAUACGCCGAGGGCUCCGAGGGACCUAAGGAGCUGGACCAGGUGGCUUUCCAGACUUUGCUCAGCAAUGAGCUGAGCCACCAGCUCACGGUGAGACCCGACUACUGGCUCCCCAAGGCGACUGGAGACAUCAACCACUGGCUCCUAGUAAAGCGGGGGGGGGGUCUCUCUGUGACCCUCAGCCCUGCCCUCCAGCGCCCUGCUGUCCCUGCCCUGGGCUCCCCGCCAGCUCUACUGGUGCCCCUCAAUCCCGACUUACAGCCCCUUGCUGUCCCAGCCCAAAGAUCUCCCCACAACUCUGCGGGUGCCCCUCACGCCCAACCCAGAGACCCUGAUUAGCCCAGACCUGGCUCUCCCCACACACCAGCGCUCUGCUGGUGCCCCUCAGUCCUGGCCCACAUCCCUCUGCUCUCCCAGGAGUUAGCUCUGCUCCACACAGCCCAGUCAAUGGCACUAAAUCCUGACCCACAGACCCCCCCCUGCUAUCCCAGAUCGGGCUCCCCACAGCUCUGCCAAUAGGCUUCGAGCUUGACUUGUAUCUCACUUCUUCACACACACACACACGUCUGUGUGUGGGGAGCCCUGCUAGUCUGACCACCUGCAGCAGGGGGCAGCAGUGCACACACACUCGCACAGACACACACCUGGCAGUAAAGCCCAUUACUGAUCCACAUGCCCGAUGGGUCCCCAGCAGUGACAUGCUGUUUCCUUGCUGAGCUUUAGAACCCAGAGGACCAGAAGGCAGCACUGGACAUGUUUAAGACGGUGGAUGCCAACAACGAUCAGAAAAUCUCCUUCGACGAGUACUGGGAUCUCAUCGUAGAGAUCUGCCGAGUGAUCCGGCGCAGCCAUUAUAACGACUAGUGACCGGGGAGCUGUGUCUAGUGGGGAAACUGAGGCAUGCACCGCAAUGGGAAAUGCCCCCAAGUCCUUUGCCUGAUGCACUCAAAGCAAACCUGCACCUCCCCCACACCACCACAUCCCCACUAAACCCAGGGACCUUAAUCUGUCUACUUGCUGGGACCUCCCCAAGCCCUUCCCGUUCCGCACGUCACGUGCUGCUGCAGCUGCCCCUGUUCCCCUCACCUGGAUCCCACCCUGAUCAAACCUCGGUCUUUGCUCCCAAGCUGCCCAUCUUUUCAUAACCCAAUGGCCCCUUCCCUCAGGUCGCCUGGGAAGGCAGAUCAGAAUUGUAUGUUGCUAACGCUGUUGCAAGCAUCACAAGGCAUUUUGGGAAGGGUUAAAGAUGUGAGUGCAGAGUGGGCGAUUCCUUUGCAGGUUGCGAGAGGCCAAAGGGAGAGGAAGGAAGAGAGCAGACAACGGGUUACCUCGACACUUCAGCUCCAAAGAGAAGAUGCUGGCCCCAGUCCAAUGUCACGGCGCUCGACAAGCUGAGCAGGGCUGCAGAGAUUGCAAAAACGAGCGAGACGGCAAGGUCAGUGAAGGGGAAAACAAAGUCCCACAUCCCUGGAGCUGAUGUGUUUUAGAAAAGCUGAGGAGGCCACAGAAAGCAGGUUUGGACUGGUACAAAGAGCACCAGGAACAGAGGUCCCUGAACGAAACACCCCCCAAAGAACCGAGGACUUAAAAACCCUCCCGAGAACCAAAACAAGUUGGAGAAAAACAGCAGAUCCUGGACGACCUGUGCAUGGGACAAAAACUCCUGUCCACCUCUCCCCCUCUUCUUCUUACGUUACACCCAGGCUUGGCCAGCUUCCGGUAGUGCGGGUGUGAGUAUGAAAGGGGGUUAGGGCUUGGGGCACUAACGCUUUCUUCCUUCCUCUGAGUGACAUGGGAACCCCCAGCACUCUCCGCUCUUAUUUCAUUAAUAAAGUUUUAAAACUUAGACA
rnacentral:lncRNA from 1 species